rnacentral:rRNA from 1 species
GCCCGCUCAGAAACUUAAAGGAAUUGAGGGGCCCGCACAAGCGGAGGAGCAUGUGGUUUAAUUCGAUGAUACGCGAGGAACCUUACCUGGGCUCGAACGUAAGAUGACUGUAGGUGAAAGCUUACAUCUCUUCGGAGCAUUUUACGAGGUGCUGCAUGGUUGUCGUCAGCUCGUGCCGUGAGGUGUCGGGUUAAGUCCCAUAACGAGCGCAACCCCUACCUUUAGUUGCCAUCAGGUAAUGCUGGGGACUCUAAAGGAACUGCCUACGCAAGUAGUGAGGAAGGCGGGGAUGACGUCAAAUCAGCACGGCCCUUACGUCCAGGGCUACACACGCGCUACAAUGGCCGAUACAGAGGGCAGCUACCUGGUGACAGGAUGCAAAUCUCCAAAGUCGGUCUCAGUUCGGAUCGGAGUCUGCAACCCGACUCCGUGAAGUCGGAAUCGCUAGUAACCGCAGAUCAGCUACGUUGCGGUGAAUACGUUCCCGGGCCUU